CUCCUGUGUCACGUGCUGCGCUCCGGACCGUCCCGAAGCAAGAUGGCGUGGGGCGGUGGGUCUUGCUAAGACCGAGCGGUGUCGUCGAGGAAAAAGAAAGCUGCGUUUCGAGCUUCUUGGGUGAAUGAUGCGAGUGUGAAAUAUUUUCCGCUCCGACAGUGUGGAUGACAAGACCUGCUCUCUCUAUGCGGACGCGGAGUGAGGAGUUGUGCAGCUGUAGUUAUCACAUGCAUAAACAUUUCUUUAGGACUCCCAGUUCCUGAGUGUUUGUCAAACACACGCUCGGCCUCCGGCUCAGGAGGAAAUGGCAGACUCGCAGCAUCGGCCUUGUGCCGCCGCCGGCAAACCGCCCCAACCCAGCCACUGACUCUUUCACGGCUCCGAGAAGAGCAUGGAAAGUUCUGCACAUUCAUCAACCUCAUGGUUUUGUGGGAUGGAUGAGUGGAAAGCAUUAACUACUGUGGCCUAAAAUGAAUAAUCUAGGGCGUGGCUUUCAAAAGUGGGUAAUGAACUCUUGAGGCCAGAAAGACUGCCGUGGAGCACUGACUGAGUGAAGAGCUGCAAGACUGCUUUAAAUGCCCUUUUUAUUUAAAACUGUGGGCAUGGCCUAAAUGACUCAGCCUGAAGAACGUGCUCCUACAGAAGUGUGUUUUUUUUUAGAAAUGACCAUUUUAUAGAGGAAAGUCAAUAGUAAUGGACUUGGAUACCAAAAGAGAAACUCUGCCAUUUAGUGCCCUAUUUAUGUUUGCUGCCACCAACAAUUUAUUUUUACAGAUGGGAAGCAAAACUGUUUCACAAGGUGAUGUAUGCUCUGUGCCUGCAGACUUUUUGCAUUGGCUCUGGUAGGGAGCUGUCAAAAUAAACAUUAGACUGAACAAGAGAA